UACGUAGGGGGCGAGCGUUGCCCGGAGUUACUGGGCGUAAAGCGCUUGUAGGCGGUCCACCAAGUUUGGGGUGACAGUUGCCGACUUAAUCGGCAAAGUGCCUCAAAGACUGGCGGACUUGAGGGCCACAGAGGGACAUGGAACUCCAGGUGUAGUGGUGAAAUGCGUAGAUAUCGUGAGGAACACCAGAGGCGAAGGCGGCUACCUGGACAAUUGCUGACGCUCAGGCACGAAAGCGUGGGGAGCAAAAGGG
rnacentral:rRNA from 1 species